GGGGACGUGGUGUAGGGGUUAUCACGCCUCAUUUGCAAGUACAUUAUGUACGAGAAAAUUUGAGGCGGUCACGAGUUCGAUUCUCGUCGUCUCCA